GUCUGGUGCCGUGGCCCAACCACCUGUUGUCUCGUGAGAUAUCUGCGCCAAAAACGCAGCCACUUCGCGUCGCCUUGUCCAAAAGUUUCCUACGCUCCCGAACUUCGGGAAGGAUCUUGUAGCCUCCACGAAAGCUUCAUAGGGGUAGAAACCUUUUGCAGGGCAUGCGUUGUUGUCCUUGUGGAUGAAGAUUUGGUCGUAGAGAGUUCUUGGGACUAGGCUCAUGAUCGGUGCGGGUUUAUAUUUAUUGUGUUUUCGAGCUUCGGUUUCA